UGUGGUGAUCAUAGCGUGAGCAAAACACCCGAUCCCAUCCCGAACUCGGCCGUUAAGUGCCACUGCGCUGAUGGUACUGCGUCUCAAGACGUGGGAGAGUAAGUCAUCGCCACAC
rfam:Loktanella sp. 3ANDIMAR09 PM07_027, whole genome shotgun sequence.